GCUGAUGAAAAAGUCCACAAGAACAGAAUGAUGGAUGGUUUGAAGUCUCUUAGUCAUGGGACUGUUGAUGUCAAUAAAAUCGACACAAUUUUGAAAAAUAUGGGGUGGAAGCUAACAAAUGAUGAAAUUAAGGAUCUGAAGAAAAAUGUGCCUGCCGAUGUACAUGGAAGAGUUUCAAUGAAAAACUUGUUGAAGGGGUUAGACGCAUUUACAGG